rnacentral:piRNA from 1 species
UACUCAAAGCCAGGCUACCUUUUCC